CGUGAAACUUUCAGCUGCCCACCCAUCCAACCCACUUAUUGGUCCGCAGGACUUUUUUUGGACAGCUGAGCCUAAAACAACAGGAAGAAAGAAUCUUAAGCGAUUGGUCGGAUCAAAGGGACAAGGCGGAGACAAAGCCAAUGGAGCUGCCCCCUGCUGGAUAUCACAUAGAAUGCAGGUUUAAAACACUUCACAGACCUGGAAGACUCCGUGGGCGAUGGGACACCUGCGAUGGAUCACAACUAUUUACAUAUCACAGCUCCCUUGAAACUGUUCCUUGCCUGCCGAAAAUAAAUACCUCCAAGCUACAAGAGUGAGUGAUGGAAAAUGGAUAUCAGGUCAUGAUAUAAACACAUAUAUAUUGGGGCAUGGGAGUGGGGAGGGGCAGGCCACGUUCACAAUGCUUCGUUUUGUAUAGGACGGCCCCCCGGAGGCUGACUGUGACUGGAAAAAUGGGAAAGAACACCGGACCCUGUCUGUUUGAACUGCAUGCUCAAAUGAGGACUUAGCAUAAAUAUUUCCACCAAGAGAAAUGGGAGAAUGUUAUCACAUGUGGAGCUUAUAUAUACACACAUAUGGCACACACACACAUGCUUGAAAAUUCAAUACACAAUACAAUGUGGCAUGCAUUUACACAGACACACAGGAUCCACUGUAUAAACAAGUCGAUUAAAGGACGUUAGGUACUGUA